rnacentral:rRNA from 1 species
AACGAACGCUGGCGGCAGGCCUAACACAUGCAAGUCGAGCGCCCUUUCGGGGGAGCGGCGGCCGGGUGAGUAACGCGUGGGAAUAUGCCCUUCUCUACGGAAUAGCCUCGGGAAACUGAGAGUAAUACCGUAUACGCCCUUUGGGGGAAAGAUUUAUCGGGGAAGGAUUAGCCCGCGUUGGAUUAGGUAGUUGGUGGGGUAAUGGCCUACCAAGCCGACGAUCCAUAGCUGGUUUGAGAGGAUGAUCAGCCACACUGGGACUGAGACACGGCCCAGACUCCUACGGGAGGCAGCAGUGGGGAAUCUUAGACAAUGGGGGCAACCCUGAUCGAGCCAUGCCGCGUGAGUGAUGAAGGCCUUAGGGUUGUAAAGCUCUUUCAGCUGGGAAGAUAAUGACGGUACCAGCAGAAGAAGCCCCGGCUAACUCCGUG